rnacentral:rRNA from 1 species
AUGAACGCUGGCGGCGUGCCUAAUACAUGCAAGUCGAGCGAACGGACGAGAAGCUUACUUCUCUGAUGUUAGCGGCGGACGGGUGAGUAACACGUGGAUAACCUACCUAUAAGACUGGGAUAACUUCGGGAAACCGGAGCUAAUACCGGAUAAUAUUUUGAACCGCAUGGUUCAAAAGUGAAAGACGGUCUUGCUGUCACUUAUAGAUGGAUCCGCGCUGCAUUAGCUAGUUGGUAAGGUAACGGCUUACCAAGGCAACGAUGCAUAGCCGACCUGAGAGGGUGAUCGGCCACACUGGAACUGAGACACGGUCCAGACUCCUACGGGAGGCAGCAGUAGGGAAUCUUCCGCAAUGGGCGAAAGCCUGACGGAGCAACGCCGCGUGAGUGAUGAAGGUCUUCGGAUCGUAAAACUCUGUUAUUAGGGAAGAACAUAUGUGUAAGUAACUGUGCACAUCUUGACGGUACCUAAUCAGAAAGCCACGGCUAACUACGUG